GAUGAAGUACGCAGCGAAAUGCGAUAAGUAAUGUGAAUUGCAGAAUUCAGUGAAUCAUCGAAUCUUUGAACGCACAUUGCGCCCGUCAGUAUUCUGGCGGGCAUGCCUGUUCGAGCGUCAUUACGCCCCUCAAGUCCCCUGUGGACUUGGUGUUGGGGAUCGGCGAGGCUGGUUUUCCAGCACAGCCGUCCCUUAAAUUAAUUGGCGGUCUCGCCGUGGCCCUCCUCUGCGCAGUAGUAAAACACUCGCAACAGGAGCCCGGCGCGGUCCACUGCCGUAAAACCCCCCAACUUUUUAUAGUUGACCUCGAAUCAGGUAGGACUACCCGCUGAACUUAAGCAUAUCAAUAAGCGGAGGA
rnacentral:misc_RNA from 1 species